rnacentral:ncRNA from 1 species
ACGGCGUUGAAGUAACCUAUGCCAUACUCCCAGGAAAAGCUCGAACGACUUUGAUCAAGAGGGUACCUAUACCCAAAACCGACACAAGUGGGUAGGUAGAGAAUACCUAGGGGUGUGAGACAACUCUCUCUAAGGAACUCGGCAAAAUAGCCUUGUAACUUCAGGAGAAGGGGUGCCUCCUCAUAAAGGGGGUCGUAGUGACCAGGCCCGGGCGACUGUUUACCAAAAAUACAGGUUUCCGCAAAGUUGUAAGCUGUGUAUCUCCAAAUAGUUUAUAGAUAAAUACCAAUUAGAAGGUCUCAGAUGACCCAAAAAGCACUUGAUCAAAUCAUGAUUAGCAUGUUUAAGUUUGUUCUGUUAAAAGCUAUAACUAGUAUAUUAUUUAGCAUGCCCACUCCUGCUUUAGAUAAUUGCAUGAGUCCUAUUUGUUCACUAGUAUGUCCGAACUGCAUUGUUUGUUUACUGUCUCACCCAGCAUGUCUAAGUUCUGUUUGUUCUGUAUGUGAUUAGUAUUUCUAAAACCUUGAAUGCUUCAUGAAGUGUUUAUCUAGUUUGUUCAUCUAAGUCUAACUUACUCUACCUCACUAAGGAGAUCCUGUUAAGACAUCU